rnacentral:lncRNA from 1 species
AAGCCAUUCGGUAACGGUCAGCGCAGGAACGAGGGUGAAUCGAGUGCUGUGUAUGCCCAGGGAGGACACGGUAGGGAUCGUUACUACCAGCACACUGCUGCUGUAACCAUCCCUGCUGGUAAUCAGUCUGCACGACAGCAACGUCAGCCACCUCAACAGAGAGCCGGGUACCAGAUGAGGGGAAAAGGGAUUGAUCGCUAUUUUGACAAGCC